UCCUGCAGAACUUCAUGUUCACAUGGGGAGCUAUCAAACGUGCCUUUCCUAACCAUUGCAGCUUUGCUAUAAAUGCUGUUUGAAUCUGUGAACAACCAUACGAAAUCAUUGCAUAACUGUCAACAUUAGACGAUAAAAAUCACUUUAAAUGAAAGUAAAAAAAUAAUACAUCUACCUUACCAAAAGAUAAAUCACUCAAAAACAGCCGUAUUUUAUUUGUUUGUAUUUUGGCCAUGUGGCUUCCAGUUCAAAAGAUCAGACAUUUUACCCAUCAUUAAAGAGUUAAUCUGAGUCCAUUAACUGAUAGAUUCCGUGUUUAUCUGCUGCUCGAGAUCCUGACAAAAUUAUAGAUUUAUUUUAACACGUAUAAAGCCACAAAUUUGUGUCCUCCCACCGCUUCUCCUCUUUCAGUUUGGCGUCUCGUUUAAUAAAUGUGCUACACUUACUGACCACAAGAGGGAGCCGCUGAUCACCUGUUUUCACCUGUCUUACAUUCAACGAGCUAAACAGGGAUUCUGCUUGAGUAUGUCAAUGUGAAAGUAAACUACACGUUUAAGUAAUGAGUUAGGGACCAAAGUUGAAGUCAUGUUCAGUCUACUGGCACUAUAACACGACUCGUCUGGUGGGAAGGUAACGUGCAGUUUGUCGUCCGCACCACUAGGGGCGCAAGCGGACUCUGCCUCCGGCGAACUGUGCAUCGUUGACAACAUGACACCUGACAGCAGUGUCAACAACAACUUCAAACCGUUUUAUAGCCAUGAAAGUGCAGAUUCUGCCCAUGACAGCUCAGUGACAGACUCUUAAUGUGACUCAACAGCACAUAUUUCAGGCCAGAAUGAAACAAAACCAUCAUAUACGGCGAUAAAGUGCAUGAAUCGAGGAUGUCACGCGACUCACCUAAUAAGGCAUGUGUUUGGACUAUAUAAAGGUCUCGGACAUGUGGACAUUCACCGCAAUGAUGGACAUCUGCUCAUGGACAGAUAAGGAGAAGCUGACAUAUAUAUACAGGCCAAUGGUUUUCUGGCUGUUCCUGGAGUCUCCCCAGCACUGCGGUUGAUGUCUCCUAUAUUGAACACCGCUGGACUGAAUUUCCUCAUUAGCUGAUGUCCAUUACCUGAGCUGAGUAUGUUCAAUAAGGGAAAACAUCUAAAAUGUCAAGUCAAAAUGUCAUUCUUUUAAAAGCAUUUU
rnacentral:lncRNA from 1 species